rnacentral:ribozyme from 21 species
AUUUCUUUCUCUUUCUUUUUCAUUUUCUUUUUUCGCUCCCUUUUUUUUUCUCCUUCCGUACUCCUUCCAAAACAACAAACACAAUGGCUAAAGGACAGAAAGGCAAGAAGA